rnacentral:rRNA from 1 species
AUGAACGCUAGCUACAGGCUUAACACAUGCAAGUCGAGGGGCAGCAUGGUCUUAGCUUGCUAAGGCCGAUGGCGACCGGCGCACGGGUGAGUAACACGUAUCCAACCUGCCGUCUACUCUUGGACAGCCUUCUGAAAGGAAGAUUAAUACAAGAUGGCAUCAUGAGUCCGCAUGUUCACAUGAUUAAAGGUAUUCCGGUAGACGAUGGGGAUGCGUUCCAUUAGAUAGUAGGCGGGGUAACGGCCCACCUAGUCUUCGAUGGAUAGGGGUUCUGAGAGGAAGGUCCCCCACAUUGGAACUGAGACACGGUCCAAACUCCUACGGGAGGCAGCAGUGAGGAAUAUUGGUCAAUGGGCGAGAGCCUGAACCAGCCAAGUAGCGUGAAGGAUGACUGCCCUAUGGGUUGUAAACUUCUUUUAUAAAGGAAUAAAGUCGGGUAUGCAUACCCGUUUGCAUGUACUUUAUGAAUAAGGAUCGGCUAACUCCGUGCCAGCAGCCGCGGUAAUACGGAGGAUCCGAGCGUUAUCCGGAUUUAUUGGGUUUAAAGGGAGCGUAGAUGGAUGUUUAAGUCAGUUGUGAAAGUUUGCGGCUCAACCGUAAAAUUGCAGUUGAUACUGGAUAUCUUGAGUGCAGUUGAGGCAGGCGGAAUUCGUGGUGUAGCGGUGAAAUGCUUAGAUAUCACGAAGAACUCCGAUUGCGAAGGCAGCCUGCUAAGCUGCAACUGACAUUGAGGCUCGAAAGUGUGGGUAUCAAACAGGAUUAGAUACCCUGGUAGUCCACACGGUAAACGAUGAAUACUCGCUGUUUGCGAUAUACAGCAAGCGGCCAAGCGAAAGCGUUAAGUAUUCCACCUGGGGAGUACGCCGGCAACGGUGAAACUCAAAGGAAUUGACGGGGGCCCGCACAAGCGGAGGAACAUGUGGUUUAAUUCGAUGAUACGCGAGGAACCUUACCCGGGCUUAAAUUGCAGAUGAAUUACGGUGAAAGCCGUAAGCCGCAAGGCAUCUGUGAAGGUGCUGCAUGGUUGUCGUCAGCUCGUGCCGUGAGGUGUCGGCUUAAGUGCCAUAACGAGCGCAACCCUUGUUGUCAGUUACUAACAGGUUCUGCUGAGGACUCUGACAAGACUGCCAUCGUAAGAUGUGAGGAAGGUGGGGAUGACGUCAAAUCAGCACGGCCCUUACGUCCGGGGCUACACACGUGUUACAAUGGGGGGUACAGAGGGCCGCUACCACGCGAGUGGAUGCCAAUCCCCAAAACCUCUCUCAGUUCGGACUGGAGUCUGCAACCCGACUCCACGAAGCUGGAUUCGCUAGUAAUCGCGCAUCAGCCACGGCGCGGUGAAUACGUUCCCGGGCCUUGUACACACCGCCCGUCACACCAUGGGAGUCGGAAAUGCCCGAAGUCUGUGACUCAACCGCAAGGAGAGAGCAGCCGAAGGCAGGUCUGAUAACUGGGGUG